AACGAACGCUGGCGGCAGGCUUAACACAUGCAAGUCGAGCGCCCCGCAAGGGGAGCGGCCGCCGGGUGAGUAACGCGUGGGAACGUACCUUUUGGUUCGGAACAACUCCGGGACACUGGAGCUAAUACCGGAUAAGCCCUAACGGGGAAAGAUUUAUCGCCGAAAGAUCGGCCCGCGUCUGAUUAGCUAGUUGGUGAGGUAACGGCUCACCAAGGCGACGAUCAGUAGCUGGUCUGAGAGGAUGAUCAGCCACACUGGGACUGAGACACGGCCCAGACUCCUACGGGAGGCAGCAGUGGGGAAUAUUGGACAAUGGGCGCAAGCCUGAUCCAGCCAUGCCGCGUGAGUGAUGAAGGCCUUAGGGUUGUAAAGCUCUUUUGUCCGGGAAGAUAAUGACUGUACCGGAAGAAUAAGCCCCGGCUAACUUCGUG
rnacentral:rRNA from 1 species